GGUAACCUACCCUGUACACACGGAUAACAUACCGAAAGGUAUGCUAAUACGGGAUAAUAUAUUUGAGAGGCAUCUCUUAAAUAUCAAAGGUGAGCCAGUACAGGAUGGACCCGCGUCUGAUUAGCUAGUUGGUAAGGUAACGGCUUACCAAGGCGACGAUCAGUAGCCGACCUGAGAGGGUGAUCGGCCACAUUGGAACUGAGACACGGUCCAAACUCCUACGGGAGGCAGCAGUGGGGAAUAUUGCACAAUGGGCGAAAGCCUGAUGCAGCAACGCCGCGUGAGUGAUGAAGGCCUUCGGGUCGUAAAACUCUGUCCUCAAGGAAGAUAAUGACGGUACUUGAGGAGGAAGCCCCGGCUAACUACGUGCCAGCAGCCGCGGUAAUACGUAGGGGGCUAGCGUUAUCCGGAUUUACUGGGCGUAAAGGGUGCGUAGGCGGUCUUUCAAGUCAGGAGUGAAAGGCUACGGCUCAACCGUAGUAAGCUCUUGAAACUGGGAGACUUGAGUGCAGGAGAGGAGAGUGGAAUUCCUAGUGUCGCGGUGAAAUGCGUAGAUAUUAGGAGGAACACCAGUUGCGAAGGCGGCUCUCUGGACUGUAACUGACGCUGAGGCACGAAAGCGUGGGGAGCAAACAGGAUUAGAUACCCUGGUAGUCCACGCUGUAAAC
rnacentral:rRNA from 1 species